ACGCCCGCUCAAGAAACUACGAAAGGUAAUUCGAGGGGCCCGCACAAGCGUGGAGCAUGUGGUUAAUUCGAUGAUACGCGAGGAACCUUACCUGGGCUCAAAUGUAUGUUGACGUAUUCUGAAAGGGAUACUUCUUCGGACAAUAUACAAGGUGCUGCAUGGUUGUCGUCAGCUCGUGCCGUGAGGUGUCGGGUUAAGUCCCAUAACGAGCGCAACCCCUGUAUUCAGUUGCCAUCGGUAAGGCCGGGCACUCUGGAUGGACUGCCGGCGACAAGCCGGAGGAAGUGGGGAUGACGUCAAGUCAUCAUGGCCCUUAUGUCCAGGGCGACACACGUGCUACAAUGGCCGGCACAACGGGAAGCGAAGGGGCGACCCUGAGCGGAUCCCCAUAAAAGCCGGUCCCAGUUCGGAUUGCAGUCUGCAACUCGACUGCAUGAAGUUGGAAUCGCUAGUAAUCGUGGAUCAGCCAAGCCGCGGUGAAUACGUUCCCGGGCCUU
rnacentral:rRNA from 1 species